GGUGGCUUGGUGGUAGAGUGCUUGCCUUGCAUGCAUGAGGCCCUAGGUUCGAUUCCUCAGCACCA
rnacentral:tRNA from 1 species